CGUAAAGGGCGCGUAGGCGGUUAUGAAAGUCAGAUGUGAAAUUCCGGGGCUCAACCCCGGAGCUGCAUUUGAAACUUCAUGACUAGAGUCCAGUUAGGGUAAACGGAAUUCCACGUGUAGCAGUGAAAUGCGUAGAUAUGUGGAAGAACACCGGUGGUGAAAACGGUUUACUGGGAUGAGACUGACGCUGAGGCGCGAAAGCAUGGGGAGCAAACAGGAUUAGAUACCCUGGUAGUCCAUGCCUUAAACGAUGCAUACUAGGUGUAGGAGGGCUCAACCCCCCCUGUACCGGAGCUAACGCAUUAAGUAUGCCGCCUGGGGAGUACGCUCGCAAGGGUGAAACUCAAAAGAAUUGACGGGGGCCCGCACAAGCAGUGGAGCAUGUGGUUUAAUUCGAUGCAACGCGAAGAACCUUACCUGGGCUCGAAAUGUAGAGGACGACAUCAGAGAUGAUGUUUCUCGAAAGGGUCUCUAUAUAGGUGCUGCAUGGCUGUCGUCAGCUCGUGCCGUGAGGUGUUUGGUUAAGUCCAGCAACGAGCGCAACCCUUAUCGUUAGUUGCCAGCGCGUAAUGGCGGGAACUCUAACGAGACUGCCUGGGUUAACCAGGAGGAAGGUGAGGAUGACGUCAAGUCCGCAUGGCCUUUAUGUCCAGGGCUACACACGUGCCACAAUGGUCGGUACAGAAGGCAGCGAAACCGCAAGGUGAAGCAAAUCCCGAAAAACCGAUCUCAGUUCAGAUUGUAGUCUGCAACUCGGCUACAUGAAGUUGGAAUUGCUAGUAAU
rnacentral:rRNA from 1 species